rnacentral:rRNA from 1 species
UACGUAGGGGACUAGCGUUGUUCGGAAUUACUGGGCGUAAAGCGCACGUAGGCGGAUUUGUUAGUCAGGGGUGAAAUCCCGGGGCUCAACCUCGGAACUGCCUUUGAUACUGCAAGUCUCGAGUCCGAUAGAGGUGGGUGGAAUUCCUAGUGUAGAGGUGAAAUUCGUAGAUAUUAGGAAGAACACCGGUGGCGAAGGCGGCCCACUGGAUCGGUACUGACGCUGAGGUGCGAAAGCGUGGGGAGCAAACAGG